rnacentral:pre_miRNA from 1 species
AUUGGCUCACAUACCCUGUGGUACCGAGCUGUGUGUUGGGUACACGAUCACACACAAUCGGCUACGGGGUGAUUGAACCCUACG